rnacentral:rRNA from 1 species
CGGAAUUAUUGGGCGUAAAGAGCUCGUAGGCGGUUUGUCGCGUCUGUCGUGAAAGUCCGGGGCUUAACCCCGGAUCUGCGGUGGGUACGGGCAGACUAGAGUGCAGUAGGGGAGACUGGAAUUCCUGGUGUAGCGGUGGAAUGCGCAGAUAUCAGGAGGAACACCGAUGGCGAAGGCAGGUCUCUGGGCUGUAACUGACGCUGAGGAGCGAAAGCAUGGGGAGCGAACAGGAUUAGAUACCCUGGUAGUCCAUGCCGUAAACGUUGGGCACUAGGUGUGGGGAACAUUCCACGUUUUCCGCGCCGCAGCUAACGCAUUAAGUGCCCCGCCUGGGGAGUACGGCCGCAAGGCUAAAACUCAAAGGAAUUGACGGGGGCCCGCACAAGCGGCGGAGCAUGCGGAUUAAUUCGAUGCAACGCGAAGAACCUUACCAAGGCUUGACAUGUUCUCGAUCGCCGUAGAGAUACGGUUUCCCCUUUGGGGCGGGUUCACAGGUGGUGCAUGGUUGUCGUCAGCUCGUGUCGUGAGAUGUUGGGUUAAGUCCCGCAACGAGCGCAACCCUCGUUCCAUGUUGCCAGCACUUCGGGUGGGGACUCAUGGGAGACUGCCGGGGUCAACUCGGAGGAAGGUGGGGACGACGUCAAAUCAUCAUGCCCCUUAUGUCUUGGGCUUCACGCAUGCUACAAUGGCCGGUACAAUGGGUUGCGAUACUGUGAGGUGGAGCUAAUCCCAAAAAGCCGGUCUCAGUUCGGAUUGGGGUCUGCAACUCGACCCCAUGAAGUCGGAGUCGCUAGUAAUCGCAGAUCAGCAACGCUGCGGUGAAUACGUUCCCGGGCCUUGUACACACCGCCCGUCAAGUCACGAAAGUCGGUAACACCCGAAGC